rnacentral:lncRNA from 1 species
CGUAGCAGGUCAUGUGCGCAUAAUGUAGACGUGAGGUAGCUGUAAUUCAUGGCACGUGAAGUACUGAAAUUUAAUGACUUUUGGGCAAUCAACGAUUGACGACAAGGGAGCUUAUCUUUGUGUGGACACACCGAAGAGUUACCGAGAAGGAGCUCGAUGUUCAUGUCACCGAGGGCUAUUGGCAGGUGCUGCAUCAUUGAGAUCUGGUGGUUGAAAGGGAACUCAAACUUGUCGUUGCAACAAUAGAAGUUAGCAAGCUUCUUGAUUGCAAAAGUUGCUGGGUUGAACGCCGCGGAGAAGCCGGGAAGAUGAGCGCCGGACAUCUAAGUCCAUAGAUUUGGGUGGAGAGAAAAAUUGCUCCAUGGCCGGGUAUAUCGAGUAAUUGAUUUCAUGGGUGUGCGAGCAUCGAUCAGUCUCCUACUUGCUGAUUGAGGCAGGGAACCGAGUUAGACGUUGGGUCGUUGUCGAUGGAGGAUGUCAUGGCAAGUUGACGCUUAGCGGACUUGGCGGACGGACAAAUCCCUGGCGGACAAAUCUUUGACGGACCAUGGUGCUUGUUAGCGGCGACGACUGAAGGCGGAGACUUGGGUCCAAAUCAAUAUUUUGGGUUUCUAGAUCAAAGGCCAAGGCUGAGACUGACGCCAAGCUAAAGCCGCCAAGAGUCGUUUGCCCAAUGAAGAUCACGUUGAGGUGACGCUGACGGAGUGCUUAUUGCUUCCGCUUUCUACUGGACAGAACACUUUACCGCUGUGAAUGAAAUGAGCACGUUAUGUUUGCUGUUGGUUGGUGAGUAAUUGAAGAAGAUUGGGCGUUCAAUGCUGGGGUGCUGAGCACUUGAUACUCGCUGCUAAAGCAUGCAGUUGACGCUCUCUGCCGUUGACCCUCCGCCAUAAUUGAAACUCCGCCACAAUUGAAGCUCCGCCACAAUUGGAGUUCCGCCACAAUUGAAGUUCCGCCAUAAUUGAAGUUCCGCUACGGAUUGAAGUUCUCCUACAAUUGACGUUCCGCUACGGAGAGUGACGCUGACGGCCCAUCAAGGAGGAGAUAAGGCUUGAGCUCGGCGGCCGUCAACCCGUACUUGACGGAGGAGCUUGGAGUUUGGCGGUGGAUUGUUCAAGAGAAUCUGGAGUGAAGCUUCGCCAAGAAGUUCCGUCAAGGAGAGUGAGUUGGUGCUCCGUCAAUUAGAGUGAGUUGAUGGUCGUUGUCGCUGUUGGCGGAUGGUGCUUGACACUUUGACGGAGCAUUGGUUGACGGGCCGCAAAGUUUGAAGUUUCUGUUGUAAGUUUUUUUUUUUUGGUUGGCGUUGACUGGCUCUAAAUUGUUGUUGACUAGAGGUGGAAUUUGUAGUUGACG